UCCUGUAAAUGCACCGCAAACUAUUGUCUGCUGCUGUCACAUUAGCGAUAGCAAAGGUUGAGCAAAAGAGGCAAUAAGAGGAUGUGGCGGGCUGAAGGAGAGCGAGGCGAGGGAGGGAGAGCGAGAAGGACAAGAUGAGAGAGGAGACACACUCCCAUUGUGUAAAAGUGUGCGUGCGUCGCUUUGUCCCGAGGUGAAUGGCAUGUGUAGGUGUGCGCUAACGUAAGCCGAGAAUGCAAAGUCACAGACACCCCUUUCUCCUCAGCAGCAAUCUCCCACAGGGCGAUGGUGACCUCUCGCUCUUGUCAGGCGCCACAUCUGCUCCAUUUACACGGUUGUAAUUGAACACCAUCAAAUCCUUAUACCUUACCCCCAAAAAAGUCACUGCCUGGGUCUUAUUUCUGUUGAUAUGGAUCGUAUGCCCAUGGGCGUUUUUUUUACUCUGACGCAUUGUAAAUCCGGUGGAAAGGCAUCUCAGCUGCCACUGAUCAUACUACUCGGGGCCCAAAUCAGGGAGAGACGAGCCCCAUGAAUGAAUGCUGAGUCCACCUUUCAGUGAUCGCUUGCUGCUGGAGUGAUACAUACACACUCAUAGAACUGGGUCUGGCAGCAUGUCAUAUAGGUAUAAUGCCAAGGCAACGGCUGCUUCGUUAUCAGUUUGCAACCUCUACUUCUUCUACUGUUCUCUUUCAAGUGUUACAGUAAGUCUACGCAGCCUAUUACCGCCACCUUCUGACAAAGAAAUCCAAGAAAUGUUUGUUUCACUCUCACAGAUGUUUCCAUCACUGGAUGACUGUACCUCACUGCAGGUUCGAGGGAACUACAUCACUCAGCCUUAUUAACAUAAACAGAGUAUGAAAACACUGGUAAAUUAAGUUAACUGUAAUGUGCACAUGAUCAUCGUGCAAGUCUUAUCCAUUGUCUCAAAAGGUUUUCAAUAAAAGAGAGUGAAAGA